rnacentral:rRNA from 1 species
UACAGAGGUGGCAAGCGUUGUUCGGAAUUACUGGGCGUAAAGGGUGCGUAGGCGGCUUUCUAAGUUGGAUGUGAAAACUCUGGGCUCAACCCAGAGCCUGCAUCCAAAACUGGAGAGCUUGGGUUCUGGAGGGGAAAGCGGAAUUCCUGGUGUAGCGGUGAAAUGCGUAGAUAUCAGGAGGAACACCGGUGGCGAAGGCGGCUUUCUGGACAGAUACCGACGCUGAGGCACGAAAGCUAGGGGAGCAAACAGG